GCAGAAGGACGACCUUCCCCCUGUCGGGAACACAUGCGGGACGGCCCGG
rnacentral:ncRNA from 1 species